AUAUUUUUAUAUGUUUUACUUUUUCACCUUUGAAUUUACUUCUAUUCUAUUUAUUCCCACUAAACCCAAACAUUCAAAAACAACAAAGUUUUUUUUUUUUUUGAGAAAAAAGUAAUAUACUACCUGCUUCGUUUAAUUAUUUCUAAAAUCCUUUAGAAAAAAACUUAGUUGAAAAUGUGAAUUAAUUAUAAAUCAAACUUAAAAUCUCGGAUACUAAUCAUCAAGUCUUUUUCCACUUCCGUUAGGAACAUUAGGUAAUAACAACAAACAUUGAAAGUACACGAUUAUUGAUACUUUCAUAAAUAUUCCUGCUCAAGUUCCAAAAUUAUAUACUUUUUU
rnacentral:lncRNA from 1 species